AGGCACUUUGGGAGCCAAAACCCACGGGCGGUAGCGUG
rfam:Kangiella geojedonensis strain YCS-5, complete genome.